rnacentral:lncRNA from 1 species
AUGCGGCAGUCUGCCACUUUAGAAUACAGGGGAUGGCUGAACUAUUACACCAAAUGUAAGCACAGCAGUUUCAAAAAUUGCACUAUGCAGCUUUUAUGCUUGACAAACCAUUGUCCAAGGUUGACAAAAUUGCAUUAUUUCAAUAAAAUGAGUAUAGCAAAAUAUAUGUCUGUAGGGAUUAGCCAUCAUAUUGCCUGGGACCAUAAUAAUAAUAAGAAGAAGGAGACGAAGAGAGAGAGAGAUGAGAGAGAGAGAAGAAGAAGAAGAAGAAGAAGUAGUAGUAGUGAGGGCAUAAAUAUGCCCAAUGGCCAAACAAUAAAGUGUCACCAGCCAGAGGCCUAUAAAUAUCUGGGCAUAUUACAGCUGGACAACAUCAAGCAUGAACAUGUGAAAACUGUGGUCAGCAAAGAAUACACACAAAGGGUCAGAAAAAUUCUCAAAAGCAAGCUCAAUGGAGGCAACACCAUCAAGGCCAUAAACACCUGGGCCAUACCUGUCAUAAGAUAUACUGCUGGCAUUAUAAAUUGGACACAGGCGGAACUGGACAAUUUGGACAGAAAAACAAGAAAACUCAUGACCAUUCAUCAUUCCCUGCACCCUCGCAGUGAUGUUGACCGGCUCUAUCUGCCUAGAAGAUCAGGGGGCAGAGGACUCUUACAAGUAAAACAAGCAGUCAAAGAAGAAGAACAUGCCCUGGCAGAAUAUGUAAAGCAAAGUGAAGAACCUGCUUUGAUUGAAGUCAAAAAUCAGAAACUCCUCAAAGCACAACAGACAAAAAACCAGUACAAGAAAACCACACUACAAACUAGAGCUGACAGCUGGCACAACAAAACAUUGCAUGGAAAGUUCCUUGACAAAAUUGAAGGAAGAGCUGAUAAGGAGAAGACCUGGCUAUGGCUCAGGAAUGGGACCCUGAAGAAGGAGACAGAAGGCCUGAUCCUUGCAGCCCAGGAGCAAGCCAUCAGAACAAAUGCAAUUAAGGUCAAGAUCGAAAAAUCAGCUGAUGACCCAAAAUGCAGACUGUGCAAGGAAGCUGACGAAACCAUUGAUCAUAUCCUCAGCUGCUGUAAGAAAAUCGCACAGACAGACUACAAACAGAGGCACAACUAUGUGGCCCAAAUGAUCCAUUGGAACUUAUGCCUCAAGUACCACCUCCCAGCAGAAAAGAACUGGUGGGAUGACAAACCAGCAAAGGUCAUGGAAAAUGAACACGCAAAGAUACUGUGGGACUUCCGAAUCCAGACUGACAAAGUCCUGGAACACAACACACCAGACAUCACAGUUGUGAAAAAGAACAAGGUUUGGAUAAUUGAUGUUGCCAUCCCAGGUGACAGUCGCAUUGAUGAAAAACAACAGGAAAAACUCAGCCGCUAUCAGGACCUCAAGAUUGAACUUCAAAGACUCUGGCAGAAACCAGUGCAGGUGGUCCCGGUGGUGAUGGGCACACUGGGUGCACACUGGGUGCUGUUCCAAAAGAUCUCAGCCGGCAUUUGGAAACAAUAG